GACGAACGCUGGCGGCGCGCUUAACACAUGCAAGUCGAACGAUGAAACUUUGACAUAGCCCUUCGGGGGGGAGAUAAAGGGGAUUAUCGGCGGACGGGUGAGUAACACGUGAUUAACCUUCCUUAGACAUUGGGAUAGCUUCGGGAAACCAGGAUUAAUACCAAAUAAAAUCAUAAUGACACAUGUCAUAACGAUCAAAACUCCGGUGGUCUAAGAUGGGCGGUCGUCCGAUUUGGUAGUUGGGAGGGUAAAAGCCUACCAAGGCGGGGAUGGGUAGCCGGGGAGGGGGGGGGGACGGACAAAGUUGGAGUGAGGACACGGACAAACACCCGAGGGAGGGGGGGGUGGGGUAGAAUGCAGAGUGGAGGGAACACGGAUGCAGCGACGCCGCGUGAACGAAGAAGGCUUGCGAGUCGUAAAGUUCGUUUAUAUGGGAAGAUAAUGACGGUAAAAUAAGAAAAAGGCCCGGCUAACUACGUG
rnacentral:rRNA from 1 species